UACGGAGGGUGCAAGCAUUAAUCGGAUUUAUUGGGCGUAAAGGGCGCGUAGGCGGGGAAGUCAGUCAGAUGUGAAAGCCCAGGGCUCAACCUUGGAACAGCAUUUGAAACUACUUUUCUAGAGGGUAGGCGGAGAAAACAGAAUUCCACGUGUAGCGGUGAAAUGCGUAGAUAUGUGGAGGAAUACCGGUGGCGAAGGCGGUUUUCUAGCUUAUACCUGACGCUAAUGCGCGAAAGCAAGGGGAGCAAACAGG
rnacentral:misc_RNA from 1 species